UAGUCUGCCAUACGCAGGAAGACCCGCUGAACUGAAGCAUCUCAUUAAGCGGAGGAAAAGAAACUAACUAGGAUUCCCUUAGUAAAGGCGAUCGAAAAGGGAACAGCCCAACGUCUUAAUCCCGCAAGGGAAAUGUAGUCGGUUCACCUAUUGCACUGGUCUAAGUCAGAUGGAAUGCUGCGCGAUUCAGAGUAAAAGCCUCGUAUGACCAACCGCAAGCUUACGAUGGACCGGGGAGAGUCGGAUACUUUGAGAGUAGUGUCUUAAGGGGGUGGUAUGUCCCAUCCAAGGCUAAAUAACGUGAGGAGACCGAUAGAUUACAAGUAGUGUGAACGAAAGAUGAAAAGAACUCUAAAACAGAGGGUGAAAAGUUCCUGAACUUGCUUAGGGUUAAGGCUAUUUAUAGUACCCGUCUUGAAACACGGAUUAGGGAGUUUAUCUGUAGUGCGAGUCUUUGCACGUUAACUGUAAAGGCGUAGAGAAAGCAACUGGCGUUUGCAUGGCUACUGAGCAUUACUGAUAGGACCCGAAAGGUGGUGAACUUUGCCUGCACAGGUUGAAGUCAGGGGAAACUCUGAU
rnacentral:ncRNA from 1 species